GCCCCGAUAGGGUAGCGGAUAUCCUGAGAGCCUCCGGAGCUUUCGACCUGAGUUCGAAUCUCAGUCGGGGCG
rnacentral:tRNA from 3 species